rnacentral:rRNA from 1 species
UACAGAGGUGGCAAGCGUUUGUUCGGAAUUACUGGGGCGUAAAGGGCGCGUAGGCGGUCCUCUAAGUCUUGUGUGAAAUCCCUCGGCUCAACUGAGGAACUGCACGGGAUACUGGAAGACUUGAGUUCGGGAGAGGGAAGCGGAAUUCCGGGUGUAGCGGUGAAAUGCGUAGAUAUCCGGAGGAACACCGGUGGCGAAGGCGGCUUCCUGGACCGACACUGACGCUGAGGCGCGAAAGCUAGGGGAGCAAACGGG